rnacentral:rRNA from 1 species
GGAAUAUUGCACAAUGGGCGCAAGCCUGAUGCAGCCAUGCCGCGUGUAUGAAGAAGGCCUUCGGGUUGUAAAGUACUUUCAGCGGGGAGGAAGGGAGCGCGGUUAAUAACCGCGUUCAUUGACGUUACCCGCAGAAGAAGCACCGGCUAACUCCGUGCCAGCAGCCGCGGUAAUACGGAGGGUGCAAGCGUUAAUCGGAAUUACUGGGCGUAAAGCGCACGCAGGCGGUCUGUUAAGUCAGAUGUGAAAUCCCCGGGCUUAACCUGGGAACUGCAUUUGAAACUGGCAGGCUUGAGUCUUGUAGAGGGGGGUAGAAUUCCAGGUGUAGCGGUGAAAUGCGUAGAGAUCUGGAGGAAUACCGGUGGCGAAGGCGGCCCCCUGGACAAAGACUGACGCUCAGGUGCGAAAGCGUGGGGAGCAAACAGGAUUAGAUACCCGGG